rnacentral:rRNA from 1 species
GACGAACGCUGGCGGCGUGCCUAAUACAUGCAAGUCGAGCGCAGGAAAUCGACGGAACCCUUCGGGGGGAAGACGACGGAAUGAGCGGCGGACGGGUGAGUAACACGUAAAGAACCUGCCCUCAGGUCUGGGAUAACCACGAGAAAUCGGGGCUAAUACCGGAUGGGUCAUCGGACCGCAUGGUCCGAGGAUGAAAGGCGCUCCGGCGCCGCCUGGGGAUGGCUUUGCGGUGCAUUAGCUAGUUGGUGGGGUAAUGGCCCACCAAGGCGACGAUGCAUAGCCGACCUGGGAGGGUGAUCGGCCACACUGGGACUGAGACACGGCCCAGACUCCGACGGGAGGCAGCAGUAGGGAAUCUUCCACAAUGGACGAAAGUCUGAUGGAGCAACGCCGCGUGAACGAUGAAGGCCUUCGGGUCGUAAAGUUCUGUUGUAAGGGAAGAACAAGUGCCGCAGGCAAUGGCGGCACCUUGACGGUACCUUGCGAGAAAGCCACGGCUAACUACGUGCCAGCCGCCGCAGUAAAAC